GACGAACGCUGGCGGCGUGCCUAAUACAUGCAAGUCGAGCGGACAGACGAGGAGCUUGCUGGUCUCAUGUUAGCCGCGGAGGGGAGUGUAACACGUGGAUCACCUACCUGUAUGACGGGGAUCACUUCGGGAAUGCGGCGCUAAUCCCGGAUAAUCUUCUGCACCGCAUUGGUGAAAGGAAAAAUACGGUGUUUCUGUAUCUUCUCGAUGCAUAUCCGCUGCAUUAGCUAGUUGUUAAGGUAAAGGCUUAUCAAGGCAACGAGGCCUAGGAGAACGGAGAGGGUGAGCGGCCACACUGGAAGGGAGACACGGUCCAGACGGCUACGGGAGGCAGCAGUAGGGAAUCGGGCGCAAGGGGCGAAAGACUGAGGGAGCAACGCGGCGUGAGGGAUGAAGGGCGUCGGAUCGUGAAACUCUGUUAUCAGGGAAGAACAUAUGUGUAAGUAUCUGGGCACAUCUUGACGGGACAUAAUUAGAAAGCCACGGCUAACCACGUGC
rnacentral:rRNA from 1 species